rnacentral:rRNA from 1 species
GCUCAUUAAAUCAGUUAUAGUUUAUUCUGAAGAUAAUACCAUUAGGAUAACCGUGGUAAUUCUAGAGCUAAUACUUGCUUUCUAGGCUUUAUUAGAUAUGMAUCACWAUAACUUCAGAUCGAUUGACGCUUCAUUCAAAUUUCUGCCCUAUCAGCUAGAUG